UGGUGGGUAGUUUGACUGGGGCGGUCUCCUCCUAAAGAGUAACGGAGGAGCACGAAGGUUGGCUAAUCCUGGUCGGACAUCAGGAGGUUAGUGCAAUGGCAUAAGCCAGCUUGACUGCGAGCGUGACGGCGCGAGCAGGUGCGAAAGCAGGUCAUAGUGAUCCGGUGGUUCUGAAUGGAAGGGCCAUCGCUCAACGGAUAAAAGGUACUCCGGGGAUAACAGGCUGAUACCGCCCAAGAGUUCAUAUCGACGGCGGUGUUUGGCACCUCGAUGUCGGCUCAUCACAUCCUGGGGCUGAAGUAGGUCCCAAGGGUAUGGCUGUUCGCCAUUUAAAGUGGUACGCGAGCUGGGUUUAGAACGUCGUGAGACAGUUCGGUCCCUAUCUGCCGUGGGCGCUGGAGAAUUGAGGGGGGCUGCUCCUAGUACGAGAGGACCGGAGUGGACGCAUCACUGGUGUUCGGGUUGUCAUGCCAAUGGCACUGCCCGGUAGCUAAAUGCGGAAGAGAUAAGUGCUGAAAGC
rnacentral:rRNA from 1 species